ensembl:lncRNA
UACCACGCCCUCUACGCGCGCCUUCUUGCCCCGCCCCUCAACUAUGUGACAGAUGUGGGCGGGGCCUGCUGUGGGCGGGGCGCCCACGUGGAGCUUCUCGAAGAGGUUCCCUGAGAAGAACCUAGCUCCGCCCCUUCUGAUUCUAAAAGCUGACGUUGUCAGAGAACCUCCAAAUCCCGCUCUGCGGUGGACUGGUCUCGUAUGUCCUGCAAGUGUCACAAAAUUCUGUGAUAUGGGGAGUAUAUGAUAUGGGCAGAAAGAUUGAAGGGAGAAGAAGGGCAAUGAAGUAUGAAACGGUUGGAUGGCAUCAUCAACUCAAUGGACAUGACUGAGGAAACUCUGGGAGAUGAUGAAGGACAGGAAAGCCUGGCACACUGCUGUCCAUAGGGACACAAAGUGUUGGACAAGAUUGAGCGAGUGAACAACAGGAAUUAACGUGCCCACGUGAAGAAAUUGAGAUCGAGAGAUAGGACUUCAACCCAUUCACUCGUUCUGUGCUGUGCUUAGUUAGUUGCUCAGUCGUGUACGACUCUUCGCGACGCGAUGGGCUAUAGCCCGCCAGGCUCGUCUGUCCAUGAGAUUUCCCAGACAAGAAUACUGGAGUGUGUUGCCAUGCCCUUGUCUAGAAGAUCUUCCCAACCCAGGGAUCGAUUGGCGGUUUCCCUUAUUGUAGGCAGAUUCUUUACCGUCUGAACCACCAAGGAAGCCAAUUCAUUCCUUCAACUAACAUUUAUUGAGUGCCAACUGUGUCCUAGGCCUGGCAAGUGAAUGAGAUACACUUGGUUCCUGCCCACCAGAAUCCACCAUGAAGAAAGUAAAAAAAGCAAGCCACAAACUGGGGAAAGCAUAAAUACAUCCACCGAAGACUGGAACAAGAAUGUUCACAGUAACUGUAUUUAUGUUAGCCAAAAACUCAAAAGGAUCCAAAUAUCUAUCAACAGAAAAUGGAUACAUAACUCCCUGGUAUAACUUUGCAGCAAGGAAAAGAACAAAGUACUAACAGAGAACAAAAUAGGUGAAGCACACACACACAAUGUUGAACAUAAUAAACCGAACAUUAAAGAGUGUACACAGCAUGGUUCUGCUGAUAUGAUGCCCAGUUGCAUGCAGAUUUAAUCUAUGGCAGGGUCUUCCCUGGCAGUCCGAUGGUUGGGGCUCUAUGUUUGAUCCCUGCUCAAAGAACGAGGAUCCUGCAUGCUAUGAGGUGCCAAAAUUAAUCUAUGAUGAAAGAUUAACGUGCAUGCACAGUUGCUCAGUCAUGUCCAACCCUUUGCGACCCCACGGACUUGGAAUUCUCCAAGCAGGAAUACUGGAGUGGAUUGCCAUUUCCUACUCCAGGGGACCUUCCCAACCCAGGAAUUG